UCUGCCCGCUGGCGGCGUGCCUAAUACAUGCAAGUCGAGCGAACAGACGAGGAGCUUGCUCCUUUGACGUUAGCGGCGGACGGGUGAGUAACACGUAGGUAACCUACCUAUAGGACUGGGAUAAAUUCGGGAAACCGGAGCUAAGACCGGAUAAUAUUUCGAACCGCAUGGUUCGAUAGGGAAAGAUGGCUUUGCUACAACUUUUGGUUGAACCUUCGCCGUAUUAGCUAGUUGGUAAGGUAACGGCUUACCAAGGCAACGAUACGUAGCCGACCUGAGAGGGUGAUCGGCCACACUGGAACUGAGACACGGUCCAGACUCCUACGGGAGGCAGCAGUAGGGAAUCUUCCGCAAUGGGCGAAAGCCUGACGGAGCAACGCCGCGUGAGUGAUGAAGGUCUUCGGAUCGUAAAACUCUGUUAUUAGGGAAGAACAAACGUGUAAGUAACUGUGCACGUCUUGACGGUACCUAAUCAGAAAGCCACGGCUAACUACGUG
rnacentral:rRNA from 1 species